CGCCCUUCAACGCACGGCUCCUCAAAGUCGCCUCUUCCCCACGGCCGCGGCUGGAGAACUCCACAGGCAAGAUCGCACCCUCCAGUAGGAAACCGGACUCUAGAGAAUCUUCUCCUUUUCACUACUGACCGAGGGGAUAACUUUGCCCCUAAUCAUGUUCGUGUUUCGGGUCGCGCGUUCCCUGGAAGAUGCAGGUGCCAGUUGAGUUGAUUCUGACUGCUGGCGAGACCAUGUGGAGCUUCGCGGGCCACAGUUACCUCAUGAGCAGCCAGUUUGACACCCCUGUUCUGAGGCAUCCCUUUCAAUGUAGCCAAUGGCUAGUUCCUUUCUGUGCUAACCAUUCACGUCAAGCAGAACGUUCCUCUCCCAUCUUUUCCUUUCCUGUUCAAUUUAUUGAAUGGUUUUACUCCAAUAAAUAAUAUAUUUUAUUAAGUUA